UGGGGAAUUUUGGACAAUGGGCGCAAGCCUGAUCCAGCAAUGCCACGUGCAGGAUGAAGGCCUUCGGGUUGUAAACUGCUUUUGUACGGAGCGAAAAGGUCUGCCCUAAUACGGUGGGCUCAUGACGGUACCGUAAGAAUAAGCACCGGCUAACUACGUGCCAGCAGCCGCGGUAAUACGUAGGGUGCUAGCGUUAAUCGGAAUUACUGGGCGUAAAGCGUGCGCAGGCGGUUAUGCAAGACAGAGGUGAAAUCCCCGGGCUCAACCUGGGAACUGCCUUUGUGACUGCAUAGCUAGAGUACGGUAGAGGGGGAUGGAAUACCGCGUGUAGCAGUGAAAUGCGUAGAUAUGCGGAGGAACACCGAUGGCGAAGGCAAUCCCCUGGGCCUGUACUGACGCUCAUGCACGAAAGCGUGGGGAGCAAACA
rnacentral:rRNA from 1 species